AUUGCCAUACCCACAAAAGUCAAGGAUACCAGAAUUCAGGGAAGUCAAAACGAAGCCAAAGUCAAAUACCAGACAAUCAAGAUCAAGAAAGCACUCUCGGACUACCAUCAGGAUGCAACCACAACAGGGCAAUGAACAAAAGGAGAAUUGGGUUUAAUACCCCUCCUGUGGAUCCGAUUGGCUGUAACUGGCUUUUGACCCCAAAAGCAAUUACCAG